rfam:Anopheles gambiae str. PEST chromosome 2R, whole genome shotgun sequence.
UGGUUCUUCCUAGCUCAACUCUCGUGGUUCCAUACGAGCUGUCAUAGCUCACCCGUUGCUUCACACCGAAGCAUGCCAUGGGAAAAGUCCCCGGGCCCCGGGCAGAAAGUGUCAGGACGUGACUCGUCCCGCUUGUCACACAGUCAGAAGUGUGGAGGGGGUUCAAAUCUCUCUUGGCUUAGACAUUGUGCAAACUUGCCAGAUAUUUACAGUCAUGUUGAGGGACUCAGGGAGGGGUACAAACUCCCCUUCCUCUCUCACACAAUGGGGCUUACUCAGAAAGAACU